rnacentral:misc_RNA from 1 species
AAAAAAGGCAUCUUUAAUUAUCUAAUUCUAGGGUUCAAUGUGAACUGGAAUUUUGGUUUUAUUAGGCAUUGGUUUGAUGUUCAAAUGAUACAAAUUUCAUUAAAAUUUACUCAUUUAGUGUAACUGUAAGGUUUAUGCAGUUAUUAGUUAGCAAUUAAACAGUUUGGCUCAAGGAUGAUUUCUUUUAGCUAUAGAGAUUUUCUGGUUGAAGCAUCUGUUCAAAUUUAGGUACUUCUUUAAUAAAAUUCAAGUUGGAAGUGGGAAUGCUGCUUUGGGUACCGAGUGCUCUCUUUGACAGCCCUUUGGAAAUAUGUAUUUUGGGGUUUUUUAAGGCUAGGAAUGCGUAAGCUUUUGUUUGUACUUAUAUGGGUUCUCCUGAUGGGGAAGUGUGUUGCAACUUGCAUUUUUCUAGGGAAUCUAGAGUAUUUCUCAAUCUUUGGUAUAAAGGGGUUUGUCUUGAAGUGAAAUCAUAAACCUUGUUGGAUCGAAAACAAUGUUCCUUGGAGGGCUAUAUGAAGUAAAUUUGCUUAAUAAAAAUUAUGUUCCUCAGUUUUUAUUUUCGUCUUUGCUUAGGGGGACACCUUUUGCAUUCCUUUUGUACUCUCAUUUGUUUUUCUUCUUUUAUGAAAAAAGAAAAGUUGCUUAAAAAGCAGUGUUGUCAAAAGCGCUAGGCG